UACGGAGGGGGCGAGCGUUAUUCGGAAUUAUUGGGCGUAAAGGGCGCGUAGGCGGCUGUACAAGUCAAAGGUGAAAUCCCUCGGCUCAACUGAGGAACUGCCUUUGAAACUGUACGGCUUGAGGCCGGGAGGGGGUAGCGGAAUUCCUAGUGUAGCGGUGAAAUGCGUAGAUACUGGGAGGAACACCAGUGGCGAAGGCGGCUACCUGGACCGGUUCUGACGCUGAGGCGCGAAAGCGUGGGUAGCAAACAGG
rnacentral:rRNA from 1 species